rnacentral:rRNA from 1 species
AGGACGAACGCUGGCGGCGUGCCUAACACAUGCAAGUCGAACGAAGCAUUUGGAGUUGAUCUCUUCGGAGUGACGCACCUUAUGACUUAGUGGCGGACGGGUGAGUAACACGUGAGCAACCUGCCUCUCAGAGUGGAAUAACAGUUGGAAACGGCUGCUAAUACCACAUAACGUUUUUGUGCCGCAUGACACUUCAACCAAAGAUUUAUCGCUGAGAGAUGGGCUCGCGUCCGAUUAGGUAGAUGGUGGGGUAACGGCCUACCAUGCCGACGAUCGGUAGCCGGACUGAGAGGUUGAUCGGCCACAUUGGGACUGAGACACGGCCCAGACUCCUACGGGAGGCAGCAGUGGGGGAUAUUGCACAAUGGGCGCAAGCCUGAUGCAGCAACGCCGCGUGCGGGAAGACGGCCUUCGGGUUGUAAACCGCUGUCCUUGGGGAAGAAACAAAUGACGGUACCCAAGAAGGAAGCCACGGCUAACUACGUGCCAGCAGCCGC